rnacentral:rRNA from 1 species
GAUGAACGCUGGCGGCGUGCCUAAUACAUGCAAGUCGAGCGAACGGACGAGAAGCUUGCUUCUCUGAUGUUAGCGGCGGACGGGUGAGUAACACGUGGAUAACCUACCUAUAAGACUGGGAUAACUUCGGGAAACCGGAGCUAAUACCGGAUAAUAUUUUGAACCGCAUGGUUCAAAAGUGAAAGACGGUCUUGCUGUCACUUAUAGAUGGAUCCGCGCUGCAUUAGCUAGUUGGUAAGGUAACGGCUUACCAAGGCAACGAUGCAUAGCCGACCUGAGAGGGUGAUCGGCCACACUGGAACUGAGACACGGUCCAGACUCCUACGGGAGGCAGCAGUAGGGAAUCUUCCGCAAUGGGCGAAAGCCUGACGGAGCAACGCCGCGUGAGUGAUGAAGGUCUUCGGAUCGUAAAACUCUGUUAUUAGGGAAGAACAUAUGUGUAAGUAACUGUGCACAUCUUGACGGUACCUAAUCAGAAAGCCACGGCUAACUACGUGCCAGCAGCCGCGGUAAUACGUAGGUGGCAAGCGUUAUCCGGAAUUAUUGGGCGUAAAGCGCGCGUAGGCGGUUUUUUAAGUCUGAUGUGAAAGCCCACGGCUCAACCGUGGAGGGUCAUUGGAAACUGGAAAACUUGAGUGCAGAAGAGGAAAGUGGAAUUCCAUGUGUAGCGGUGAAAUGCGCAGAGAUACGGAGGAACACCAGUGGCGAAGGCGACUUUCUGGUCUGUAACUGACGCUGAUGUGCGAAAGCGUGGGGAUCAAACAGGAUUAGGUACCCUGGUAGUCCACGCCGUAAACGAUGAGUGCUAAGUGUUAGGGGGUUUCCGCCCCUUAGUGCUGCAGCUAACGCAUUAAGCACUCCGCCUGGGGAGUACGACCGCAAGGUUGAAACUCAAAGGAAUUGACGGGGACCCGCACAAGCGGUGGAGCAUGUGGUUUAAUUCGAGGCAACGCGAAGAACCUUACCAAAUCUUGACAUCCUUUGACAACUCUAGAGAUAGAGCCUUCCCCUUCGGGGGGGCAAAGUGACAGGUGGUGCAUGGUUGUCGUCAGCUCGUGUCGUGAGAUGUUGGGUUAAGUCCCGCAACGAGCGCAACCCUUAAGCUUAGUUGCCAUCAUUAAGUUGGGCACUCUAAGUUGACUGCCGGUGACAAACCGGAGGAAGGUGGGGAUGACGUCAAAUCACCAUGCCCCUUAUGAUUUGGGCUACACACGUGCUACAAUGGACAAUACAAAGGGCAGCGAAACCGCGAGGUCAAGCAAAUCCCAUAAAGUUGUUCUCAGUUCGGAUUGUAGUCUGCAACUCGACUACAUGAAGCUGGAAUCGCUAGUAAUCGUAGAUCAGCAUGCUACGGUGAAUACGUUCCCGGGUCU